rnacentral:ncRNA from 1 species
GCGUAUUUUGCACAGGCGGAGCUCGACCGCCCGUUCAAGAAAUGAUCCAGUUCAUUGAAGAUCACCGCGAUGAUCAUGGGGUCGAGCCGAUUUGCAGGGUUCUGCCGAUUGCCCC